AUGUUCGACGAAAUGUCACGAAGGUAUAAAUUUUCCGGUUGUGCUCUCAUUUGUUGUUUCAAAUUGUAUGUGUUCUUGAUUGUUUGUGCGUCCAAUUGUAGUCUUGAUGAUGAAGCUUUCAUGCACGCGACAAAUGUGGCAAAUGAUGAUUACAUGUAUGCGUCACAAGAAUAUGAAACCCAAUAUGAUGAUGACAAUCUUGAUGUGGACGAUGAGGGCUUUGUUGUCAAGGGAAGAAAUGGAAAUUAUACCACCGCGGAGGAUGUGUUGAUAUGCACCGCUUGGAAGAAAAUCUCUCAAGAUGCGAGCGUUGGAAGCGACCAAACGGUGAACACCUAUUGGCAACGCAUCAAGGAGUACUUUGAUUGA
rnacentral:rRNA from 1 species